rnacentral:rRNA from 1 species
AGAACGAACGCUGGCGGCAUGCCUAAUACAUGCAAGUCGAACGAAGGCUUCGGCCUUAGUGGCGCACGGGUGCGUAACGCGUGGGAAUCUGCCCUUGGUUCGGAAUAACAGUUGGAAACGACUGCUAAUACCGGAUGAUGACGAAAGUCCAAAGAUUUAUCGACCAAGGGAUGAGCCCGCGUAGGAUUAGCUAGUUGGUGAGGUAAAGGCUACACCAAGGCGACGAUCCGUUAGCUGGUCUGAGAGGAUGAUCAGCCUCACGUGGGACUGGACGACGACCGGCCCAGACCUCCGUACGGG